rnacentral:rRNA from 1 species
AUUGAACGCUGGCGGCAUGCUUUACACAUGCAAGUCGAACGGUAACAGGUCUUCGGAUGCUGACGAGUGGCGAACGGGUGAGUAAUACAUCGGAACGUGCCUAGUAGUGGGGGAUAACUACUCGAAAGAGUAGCUAAUACCGCAUGAGAUCUACGGAUGAAAGCAGGGGACCUUCGGGCCUUGUGCUACUAGAGCGGCUGAUGGCAGAUUAGGUAGUUGGUGGGGUAAAGGCUUACCAAGCCUGCGAUCUGUAGCUGGUCUGAGAGGACGACCAGCCACACUGGGACUGAGACACGGCCCAGACUCCUACGGGAGGCAGCAGUGGGGAAUUUUGGACAAUGGGCGCAAGCCUGAUCCAGCAAUGCCGCGUGCAGGAUGAAGGCCUUCGGGUUGUAAACUGCUUUUGUACGGAACGAAAAGGCUCUGGUUAAUACCUGGGGUCAUGACGGUACCGUAAGAAUAAGCACCGGCUAACUACGUGCCAGCAGCCGCAGUAAAAC